GUUUAUUUUAAUGGAUAGAGACAGAAUACCAAUCAAAAAAUCCAGAAAAACACACUAUAUAAAGGUUAGAAAUUGAUUUGCAGUUCAGUGAGUGAAAUAAAGUUUCAAAAUAAUAAUAAUAAAAAAAAAUAAAACGUGAACAAGAAAUCUUAUGACAGCACAUUCAUUGGUCACCAGAAGUUGUUCAAAAAUACAUACUGGGGUACUUCAUAUUGGCACUUAUUUAUGUUCAAAAAGUGACUCCAUAUCUUCAGUAUUUAAAAAAGAAAGAAAGAAUAUUUCUGUUUCAUACAAGCAGAUUUCAAAUUCCAAAAAAAUACAAAAUAAAUAAAUAAAAUAAAAUAAUGCUCUCUUUACUUGUCUUCACAGAUUAAUUUGCAACAUGAUUUUUAUUUGUAUUUUUUACACAUGACAUAUUCACAUGUUCCUUACAUCUAUAACAUAUCAUUUAUUUAUGUUAUGUUAUUUAUUUUCAAUAACAGUGGACAUGUUUCAUUUUUAUAACAGUUCAGUUCAGUUCAUUUAUUUCUAAAGCACUAUUCAAACAACAAGGAGUUGAACCAAAGUGAACAUUAAUUUUAUUAAAAGACAUUAAUAAAACAUUUUAAUAAGGGAAAGAUCACAUAAUAAAACAACAACACAAAACCAUAAAACUCAAACUUCUACACUCGCAUAGGCUAUAGAGAAGAAAUGCAUUUCUUGCAAUGGUUUCUUUGAGCUGCAGAGGAAAGUUUCCUCCCCAAUCAUUAGAUCUGAACUGUGCUUGGUUCAUGUCUAUAGCAAACAAAAGUACCUUUAAAUUCUUCCUUCUCAGUCUGUUACUCACUUUCUGGCUCGUCAUUACUGCAGGUGCAGUUGCAGUGGUCGCAGCUGCGGCAGCAGCCAAUAUGAAGCACAAUUAAAUAAAUGCCUAAUGAAAGGAGCAUCCCAAAACCAUACAUCUGGAAGAGGAGAAAAAAAAGGCAAAAUCAGUACAUUAAGAUGAUACAAAAACAAUUGAUGAUAGCAUUAUCAUAUCAUUUCAUUCAGAAGAUACUUUUAUCCAAAAGUUACAUUACAUUUACAGGGAUAAUCACAGGGAG
ensembl:lncRNA